AGAGUUUGAUCAUGGCUCAGGACGAACGCUGGCGGCGUGCUUAACACAUGCAAGUCGAACGGAAGUUACGAGGAAGCCUAGCGAAUUGUAACUUUAGUGGCGGACGGGUGAGUAACGCGUGGAUAACCUGCCUACAUGACCGGGACAACACCGGGAAACUGGUGCUAAUACCGGAUACGCUCACGAAUGCACAUGCAUAUGUGAGGAAAGGAGCAAUCCGCAGGUAGAUGGGUCCGCGUCCCAUUAGCUGGUUGGGGGUGUAAAAGACCACCAAGGCGACGAUGGGUAGCCGGCCUGAGAGGGUGGACGGCCACACUGGAACUGAGACACGGUCCAGACUCCUACGGGAGGCAGCAGUGGGGAAUCUUCCGCAAUGGGCGCAAGCCUGACGGAGCAACGCCGCGUGAGUGAAGAAGGCUUUCGGGUUGUAAAACUCUGUCUUCAGGGAAGAAAGAAAUGACGGUACCUGAGGAGGAAGCCCCGGCUAACUACGUGCCAGCAGCCGCGGUAAAACGUAGGGGGCGAGCGUUGCCCGGAAUUACUGGGCGUAAAGGGCGCGUAGGCGGUUUCUUAAGUCAGAGGUGAAAACUGUGGGCUCAACCCACAGCCUGCCUUUGAAACUGGGAGACUUGAGGGCAGGAGAGGGGAGUGGAAUUCCCAGUGUAGCGGUGAAAUGCGUAGAUAUUGGGAGGAACACCAGUGGCGAAGGCGGCUCUCUGGCCUGUUUCUGACGCUGAGGCGCGAAAGCGUGGGGAGCAAACGGGAUUAGAUACCCCGGUAGUCCACGCCGUAAACGAUGGGUGCUAGGUGUAGGAGGUAUCGACCCCUUCUGUGCCGUAGUUAACACAAUAAGCACCCCGCCUGGGGAGUACGGCCGCAAGGUUGAAACUCAAAUGAAUUGACGGA
rnacentral:rRNA from 1 species